AUUGAACGCUGGCGGCAUGCCUUACACAUGCAAGUCGAUCGGUAACAGGUCUUCGGAUGCUGACGAGUGGCGAACGGGUGAGCAAUACAUCGGAACGUGCCUAGUAGUGGGGGAUAACUACUCGAAAGAGUGGCUAAUACCGUAUGAGCUCUACGGAUGAAAGCAGGGGAUCGCAAGACCUUGUGCUAUUAGAGCGGCCGAUGGCGGAUUAGGUAGUUGGUGGGAUAAAAGCUUACCAAGCCGACGAUCUGUAGCUGGUCUGAGAGGACGAUCAGCCACACUGGGAUUGAGACACGGCCCAGACUCCUACGGGAGGCAGCAGUGGGGAAUUUUGGACAAUGGGCGCAAGCCUGAUCCAGCAAUGCCGCGUGCAGGAUGAAGGCCUUCGGGUUGUAAACUGCUUUUGUACGGAACGAAAAGCCCCGAGUUAAUACCCUGGGGUAAUGACGGUACCGUAAGAAUAAGCACCGGCUAACUACGUGCCAGCCGCCGCCGUAA
rnacentral:rRNA from 1 species